rnacentral:rRNA from 1 species
CAGUCGCCGCGGUAAUACGAAGGGUGCAAGCGUUACUCGGAAUUACUGGGCGUAAAGCGUGCGUAGGCGGCUUCUUAAGUCGGAUGUGAAAUCCCUGAGCUUAACUUAGGAAUUGCAUUCGAUACUGGGAAGCUAGAGUAUGGGAGAGGAUGGUAGAAUUCCAGGUGUAGCGGUGAAAUGCGUAGAGAUCUGGAGGAAUACCGAUGGCGAAGGCAGCCAUCUGGCCUAAUACUGACGCUGAGGUACGAAAGCAUGGGGAGCAAACAGGAUUAGAUACCCCUGUAGUCCCUGUCUCUUAUAC